AGGGGAAUUUCUGGUUCCCCUGAGGGAGGAGGGAAGUUCACAUUUUCUAGAGGGAGAAGGAAACUACUGGGUUCUUGCGGGAGAGGCUGGUUUUCCAGGGAAAUGGAAAUUUCUGGUUUUCCUGGGAAAAAAAGGAAAUUUCCGCUUUUCCUGAGGGGGAAAGGGAAAUUUCUGGAUUUCCUGAGGAAGCAACACGUUUCUGGUUUUCCUAAGAUGAAAAAAGAAAUUUCUGUUUUCCCUGAGGGAGUGACCGGCUCCUGGUUUUCCAGAUGGAAAAGGAAAAUUCUUUCUGAGGGAGCGGACAGUUUCUGGUUUUCCUAAAGGGAAAGAAAAUUUCUGCUUUUCCUGAAGGAGAGGCUGGUUUCUGACAGUUCCCAAUGGGAAAAGGAAAUGACUGGUUUUCUGGAGGAUGAGGUGGGUUCCUGGUGUUCCUGAGUGAGACAGAACUGUGUGUUUUUCCUGAGGAAAAAGAGAGUUUCUGUUUUUCCUGAAGAGGAGACCUCUAUCCAUGGCGGAAGGGGAGAGGCCAAGGCCAAUCCUCCGGCUGGUGCAGGAGGGACAGCUGGAUCUCCUCCGGGAUGAGCUGCGGCCGGACAAGGCGCUGGGCCCGGCAGUGCGGAACCAGCGCUAUGGGCGCUCAGGGGACACGCUGCUGCACCACGCUGCCCGGUACGGGCACCGGGAUGUCCUCGCCUACCUGGUAGAGAUGCUGGGGAUGGACGUUGAGGUGUGCAAUAGCGACUACAAAAGACCGCUCCACGAAGCGGCCUCCAUGGGCCAUAGGGAGUGUGUCUCCUACCUCCUGGAGAGAGGCGCGAGCGUAGACUGCUUGAAAAAGGCAGACUGGACCCCCCUAAUGAUGGCUUGCACCAGGCAAAACCUGGAGGUGAUCAAAGCUCUCGUGGAGCAUGGAGCCAACCCGCUGCUGAAGAACAAGGAUGGCUGGAAUUGCUUCCAUAUCGCGAGCCGGGAGGGCCAUCCCCAGGUCCUUCGGUACCUGCUGGACCUGUUUCCAGGCAGCUGGGACACGGAGAGCACCAUAAAGAGGACGCCUCUGCACACAGCAGCGAUGCAUGGCUGUUUUGACGUUGUGGAGCUGCUCCUGGAGCGGUGCCAGUACAAACCUGACAGCAGAGACAAAUGUGGAGUCACUCCCUUUAUGGAUGCUAUCCAGAACGGGCAUGUCAACAUUGCCCGGCUGCUCCUGGAAAAACACCAGGCCUGUCCUACAGCUGUGGACGUGCUAGGUGCUCAGCCUCUGCACCGGGCAGCUGUCACGGCCCAGGAUGAAGCUAUCCAGUUCCUGGUCUCUGAGCUGGGUGUUGAUGUCAAUGAGAGAGCGACAACCCUCCAACUCACAGCACUGCACUAUGCAGCCAAGGUUGUGUCACCCAGUUGCAAGUCAGAGGUCGUUUGUGCAUUAACUCCUCUGCAGCCGCUGGCGAAGACGAAGCCGCGCUGGGAGAGAGUCCUCCAAAUUCCUCACACCUCAAGGUCCCAGCUGUGCAAGGUGGAUCUGUUGACUAUGAUCAGGAAGAUCAUAUGGGAUCUACAGUUGUCUAAAAGCAGAUCCAUCUGCCUGGAUCUGAACUGGGUUGUGUGUCUAUCACACCUGCCCUGCUGAGGCACCGCUCUCUUUGGCUGUACCACCGGAGACACCUCUGCGCUGUAGCGUGAUUUUAAGCACUGUUGGUCUUAAUUGAACACCCCUGAUUUUAAAAAGUUGUGUUAAAUGUUGGCAGAGAGGAUUACGCUUCUGGGAUGCCUCUUGCUGCUUUUUCAGCCUCUGGGUCAAAAUUGCUGCCAGGGGCACGCAAGGCGUGCAGACGCUCUGACCGAAGGCCGAGCUUUCACUCCUCUUACAGGCUGCCAGCGGGAGGGCUGGAGAAGGUGCCUGGCAGCAUCUCUCUGACCAAUUCCUGUAGGGCAACAGCAGCGUGUCUGCUGUGCCUGGGCAAUCCCUGGCUGAUGGACCCAACCUGCACUGCCACAGGCAGCUGACCCUGAUUUCCAGCCGCUGUAAGGUCCUCUGGAGCCUGGAGCAACUCCUGGUAGCCCCGAGUUUUGACCGUGACGCAGUGGAUCUGUGUCUGUGCCCCUCCCAGGUGCCAUAUGCAGUUAGGAACAGAUUGCUUGUGGCCUCCUUUCUUUUCAGGCCUGUCUUAUCUCUGCUAAAUGCAAAGGUGAGAAAUUGUGCAGAGCUGGUGGUGAAUAAAUAAUCCACGUGCCUGUGCUCACCACUGCAGGAAGGACACGUGCACACCAUCCAGACGCUGCUGUCCCUCGGCGCUGAUGUCCACGCAAAGGAUGGGAAGAGCCGUUCCGCCCUGCACGCGGCGUGUG